CAGCAGCCACGGGAAUACGAAGGGUGCAAGCGUUAAUCGGAAUUACUGGGCGUAAAGCGUGCGUAGGCGGUUUGUUAAGUCUGUUGUGAAAUCCCCGGGCUCAACCUGGGAAUGGCAAUGGAUACUGGCAAGCUAGAGUGUGUCAGAGGAUGGUGGAAUUCCCGGUGUAGCGGUGAAAUGCGUAGAGAUCGGGAGGAACAUCAGUGGCGAAGGCGGCCAUCUGGGACAACACUGACGCUGAGGCACGAAAGCGUGGGGAGCAAACAGGAUUAGAUACCCCCGUAGUCCCUGUCUCUUAUAC
rnacentral:rRNA from 1 species